UACGUAGGGGGGCGAGCGUUGUCCGGAAUCAUUGGGCGUAAAGAGCUCGUAGGCGGCUCGGUAAGUCGGGUGUGAAACCCCCCAGGCUCAACCUGGGGACGCCACCCGAUACUGCUGUGGCUAGAGUCCAGUAGGGGAGUGUGGAAUUCCUGGUGUAGCGGUGAAAUGCGCAGAUAUCAGGAGGAACACCAAUUGCGAAGGCAGCUCGCUGGGACGUUACUGACGCUGAGACGCGAAAGCGUGGGGAGCAAACAGG
rnacentral:rRNA from 1 species